AGAUUGAACGCUGGCGGCAUGCUUUACACAUGCAAGUCGAACGGGCGUGUUGGGGCAACCUGGCAGUCAGUGGCGAACGGGUGAGUAAUGCAUCGGAACGUGUCCCGUAGUGGGGGAUAACCCGGCGAAAGCCGGACUAAUACCGCAUAUGCUCUGAGGAGGAAAGUGGGGGAUCCGCAGGGACCUCACGCUAUGGGAGCGGCCGAUGUCCGAUUAGCUUGUUGGUGAGGUAAAGGCUCACCAAGGCGACGAUCGGUAGCUGGUCUGAGAGGAUGAUCAGCCACACUGGGACUGAGACACGGCCAGACUCCUACGGGAGGCAGCAGUGGGAAUUUGGACAAUGGGGCAACCUGAUCCAGCCAUGCCGCGUGCGGGAAGAAGGCCUUCGGUUGUAACCGCUUUAGUCGGAAGAAACGGCGUCUACGUUAAGUACGGGUCGUUACGUUGACGGUACCGGCGGAAGUAACGCGACCGCUAACGUACGUCGUCCACGCACGCCGACGGUAACUCGU
rnacentral:rRNA from 1 species